GAUGAAGAACGUAGCGAAAUGCGAUAAGUAAUGUGAAUUGCAGAAUUCAGUGAAUCACCGAAUCUUUGAACGCACAUUGCGCCCUUUGGUAUUCCGAAGGGCAUGCCUGUUCGAGCGUCAUUAUCACCCCUCAAGCCCUCGGCUUGGUGUUGGACGGUUUGGUGGAGGCCCCCUCGGGGGUUCCUGCCCCUCCCAAAGACAAUGACGGCGGCCUCGUUGGACCCCCGGUACACUGAGUUCUUCACGGGACACGUAUCGGACACAUGGGUUUACGGGACACGGUCUGCCUCCCCUCAGGGAGAAUCUUUCUAAGGUUGACCUCGGAUCAGGUAGGGAUACCCGCUGAACUUAAGCAUAUCAAUAAGCGGAGGA
rnacentral:misc_RNA from 1 species